GUACGCAAAUGGUGUGAUGCGAUCUCGUUUGUAGCCAUUUUUAGCGAGAGAUUGCGACCUAAAGUUUGAGUCUAUCUGCAAGGUUGGCUUUUUAUUAGGGCCGAUUCUACUGCGUAACGGCCAUUUGGGU
rfam:Campylobacter fetus subsp. fetus 82-40, complete genome.